CUACGUGCCAGCAGCCGCGGUAAUACGGAGGGUGCGAGCGUUAAUCGGAAUAACUGGGCGUAAAGGGCACGCAGGCGGACUUUUAAGUGAGGUGUGAAAUCCCCGGGCUUAACCUGGGAAUUGCAUUUCAGACUGGGAGUCUAGAGUACUUUAGGGAGGGGUAGAAUUCCACGUGUAGCGGUGAAAUGCGUAGAGAUGUGGAGGAAUACCGAAGGCGAAGGCAGCCCCUUGGGAAUGUACUGACGCUCAUGUGCGAAAGCGUGGGGAGCAAACAGGAUUAGAUACCCUGGUAGUCCACGCUGUAAACGCUGUCGAUUUGGGGAUUGGGCUUUAAGCUUGGUGCCCGAAGCUAACGUGAUAAAUCGACCGCCUGGGGAGUACGGCCGCAAGGUUAAAACUCAAAUGAAUUGACGGGGGCCCGCACAAGCGGUGGAGCAUGUGGUUUAAUUCGAUGCAACGCGAAGAACCUUACCUACUCUUGACAUCCAUGGAAUCUUGUAGAGAUACGGGAGUGC
rnacentral:rRNA from 1 species